UGUCCGUCUACUCCAAGGUGUGUCUACAUCAUAUAUAAAGACGUAGCAGAGCGAUUCUUCAAAGGUGUACUUGUAGAGGUAUCAGUUUCAGUGUUGUUAUUUCUAAGAACAAUAAUAUGGGAGACACAAAUCCAGACAAACCCCCUCAGUGCAAUAAGGGCAAAGAAGGUGAGGGCAAGGCCAAAGGUAAAGGCCCAGAUCACGGCCAUGGACACGGCCAUGGACCAGGUCAAGGUCAAGGCCAGGGAGAGGGUCAUGGCAAAGGUCAUGGUCACGGACACGGUCAAGGUGCACCAGGAAAGGACUGCAAAGGAAAAGGCAAGCCAUAAUGACAAGAAGCUGAGUGAAGAGACGUCUGAAGUCUGGCUGAUGCCGUUAUCUUUCUUCUGUAAAACACUAUGAAUUAAAUCAUACAUGUAUAAGUAAACUGCAUACAUUUGUUUACCAUUAAACGAUAAAAAAUAAAAUAUUCAAUAAUCAAUAACAAA